rnacentral:lncRNA from 1 species
UGCAAAGCAACACUUUGACAUGAACAAGUCUGUCACAUAUGAAAAUGGUGAGGUAUCCGUCAAGCUUGAAGUUCAUGCAAAUGGUGCUACUCACAUAUGUCAGGAAUCUGCGGCAAACAAGGAUGCAGCAGAAAAAAAAGCAUCCCUGGCUAUGUUGGAGAUGCUAAAGGGAAAAUUUGUCAAGGAGGAGGAGGAUGGCAAGCUUAAGGCUAAUGCAAAUGGUGUCCCUUGUGCUCGUAGACCAACUGCUGCAAACAAGAAGACAGCAAGAAAAACAGCAUCCAUGGAUAUUCUGUCGAAGCUAAAGAAAAAUUAGUUACGCCGGGGAGAGCCACAUACAACCCUGCCUGUCUUGUGAAAUCAAACAAGUCAGAUAGCCUUUUGGCUGGAUCAUAUAAGAUACUGAUGAUGUUUUUAUUCCAAAAAAAAAAAAAAAAAAAAACUUGCUUAACAUCAUGAUCAUCAUCGGAAAGAUGAUUCAGAUUGUCGGUGUUUUUGCCGCCUUCACGGUUUCCAUCAUUGUAAAUAUUCUGUAACGGCACUGGUAAAUUACACUUUGGAACACAUUUUUGCGAGCAAAAUCAAGAAUUUUGAAUUUGACUAAUUGCAAAGGAAGCCUCUGAAAUUAAUGAUGACAAAGGAUUUCAGUGGAAAACGUGAGAGGCAGAGGGUACUUGUUCCCGGCAGAAGUUUUUUCUUUUUUGGUCGUGUUUUUGGUGGUUAUGAUUAAAAAAGAAAAGCAAAAUUAAAUUAGACCCAAGACAGCAACUUUGUGCAACUCGUCCAGGUUUAACCCCAAAGAGCAAAAAACUGCCCAAAAAAGAGUCCAAGAAACCAUAAAAUUGAGUCUCAAUUUACAUCAAGUAUGAAAAUACCAAGCAUGAGAAGAGCAACCAUUUGCAGUAUGGAAAAUAAAGGUACAAUUGAAAUUCGAGAAAGAUGUGAUGUAAAUACAUACACUCACACUUAUUAUACCCCUUCAUAUAAUACACUUUCUCAAAUUAAUUCAUUUUUACUAAAAAAAUUAGCACAUGAAACCCUCCUCAUUAGCCAAACUCUUUGAUUCGUAUGCAUAUAUAAAUGGAGUUUGGAUGUUACUUUUAGGAGUAGUUAAGGAAUGACAAGUAUGAUAGUGCAAUACGUUAAGCUAAUUUACAAUUUUGUGACAGGGACUAAAGCAAUACGCGAAUUGAAUCGAAUCGAACUUUUCACAAUUUGAGUUUGAACUCGAAUCCAAUACAAGCUCAAAAUCUAAACUCAAGAUCGUUUCGAUUUAUUAUUCGAUGGGUUCAAACUCAAUUCAAAGCCUUAAAAAUUUAUUUAAUUCUUCAAUUUUAAUAUUAAAUUAUUACUAAUACUGAUAUUUUAAAUAAAAAUAUUAAAAAUUAUUCGAAUUGAAACGAGCUUUAAUGAGUUGAUUAACUAUAAGUUCGAACUCCUUUUAUAUAUAUAUAUAUAUAUAUAUAUAUCCUUAUACUAUAUAAGAACGAGUUUAGGACUAAAUUUCAACUGCAGGGGUGAGGCUAUUUUGGGAAUAUGAGAGUGUUUGAAGAGUAAUUGGAACAUUAAGUACAAGUCAUUAUACCUUUAAUUUCACUAUAAUUACUUAUAUAACCUUUCAGACAUUUAAGGUUAGGGGCAGGUUUGGUAUAUUACAAUGUUUAGUGCCAAAUUGAGUAUCAAGUACAACUGAAUAAAGCUUGUAUUUUGAUAGAAUUACAUAAAAGUCCUUUUAAUCAUUUAUUAUACUAAUAUCCAAGCCUUCCAAUUUUCUGAAACCUUUCUCAUCCGUUAAGGAAUUAAUUGGAUGUUUACAUAAUUGAAUUUUAAUUACAAUUAAUUAACUUAAUUAUUAUCUGAACAAUCAUUAUCAUAUUUAUGUCUCCAUGUUUAGCCGAUACCCUUUCUUCUUUUUCGGUUUCACCUCUUUGAUUUUAUUAUGGCUAUUAAAUAUUUCGUGGAAUGCAUAGUUUUUCCUUUAAAUUGAGGUGAGUUUUUUGGGUUUGUUUUCUUCAAUUGUAAUUUUUUUUUUCUGAUGAUUGGUUUAUUCAAGAACUCCAUAUAGUUUGCCUUUUGAUACUUCUAAUUCCAAAAACUAACUAAUUGUAUUGUUUUUCUUAGUAGAUCCCAGAGAUUCUGUCUCCGAUCAAAGUACAAUUUGAGAUAAUGUUGUCACUUUCUAAAAUAAUCAGAAAAGCAAUUUUAUCAUCUUCUCCUCCUCAGCCAAGGUAUUAUCUCUUUAUUUGAGUCAAAUAACCUUAUUUCUCAUGAAUUUUCUCCUAUUAUUCUUGACUCCAGGGAUCUGUUGACUACAUUCCAGCAGUUAUGGUUCAAGUAGUUAUUUUUUUAUGUAAUAUGAUUUGAAAUUCAGCUUGUGUUUAUUUUAAUUGAGAAUUUUAUGAUUGUAAAAUUUAUUAACUUAGAAUUUUGUACUUCAUUGAAACUAAAAAGAAAAUUAAUCAUGCUACAUAGUCCUAAGAUGUCAUAUGCACUCUAUUUACUUUCCAUAUUAUGAUCUCGUUCUUGUAUUAUACUGUUUAUAUAGUUUCAAAUACAAAAAAUUUGCUUUUUUAUGCUAUCUAAAAAAAUUUGUAGUUGAACUUGAUGAGUUUAAAUGCUUUAUCUACAGCACCAUUUUGAUUGCAUUGUAUUAAUUCAUUUACUCAUAAUUGUAUGUUGUACAAUGAUAAAUAAUGUUUCUUGAUUUGAUUGAAACAACUAUUAUCCAUAGUUCAAAUGAGUCAAUUAAGUAGGGAUGUUAUAUUGGAUACUUAUACAAGUAAAUAUUGAAAAAUAUCAUUAAGCAGUUUCUAUCUAUAGUUUGCAAUUCAAAUUCAUAUGAGGAAUUUCUUCUGAUUUUAGUUACCAUUUUCUACAAUUUCAAAUUUAGAAAAUAUUAUUUGCACUAAUUUUUUAUAAUCAGGAUAGUUUCAAUUCAGAUCUUUAACAAUUAUGCAUAUUUGAACUUAUUUAUGAGAUUAUAAAGAAAUGCCCCUAGCAAAAAAUACCAAAUCUGAAUAGUUUCUACAAAAUUUUGAAAAAGACCACUUAAGUUUCUUAUCUAUCUAUCAUUUUUUAGUAUUAUUAUCUCUGCAAGAAACAUGUGAUUAAGUCGUAUUAUAUCCACUAAAUUAUAUAAAUAGUUAGUUAAAAAUAAAAUUAUUUUAGAUUAGAUUGGACACAAAGUGAUUGAUGGAUAAACUUGACUUGAUAAUUCAAGUUGAGAUUAAGUCGAGGGAGAAAUCAGAAGCAUUGCUUGAGGGAUCUUUCACGAACAUAUAUAGAUUCAAGAGAUGAAGGGUCCAAUUGAUACUUUAAAAUGUUUAUCAUCUUGGAUAAGUUUUAGAAGAGACCUUUGGAUACUUUUCAAUUGCACUUCAAAUAUUCUUACAUUUUCAAACCACCCUUAUCUUUGCAGUUAAAAUUCAAACAUAACUUUUGAUCACAACGGAUUCUUAUAUAGUAUAACGAUAAGGAUGUCUCAUUGCACAUUAUUUUUAUUGACUCACUAUAUAACUUAUGAUUUUUCUAUUAAAAUCACAUGAUAAAAUCAUCAUACGUCAGUUCCUAUACUACAAAAUAUUAAACAAUAAUUAUUAAUUAUCUUGAAUCACAAGCACCAAAUUCCCGCGUGUCGCGCGGGCUGUCCCUCUCUAGUAUAUAUAUAUAGGAAUCAGUCAAUAAAACUAAAUGCACUUAGAAAUUGAAACAUUUGAAAUUGUUUUUGUUUUCUUUCAAAUUUUAAGGACUAAAAGCGCUCGUACUCCAAACAUUUGAGACCAAAACUGCAAUUCUCUUUUGAAACUGCUAAGCAUGUAUUCUACAUCUAUAUGGCUAUGCAAUUCAAAUAUAUCAACUAUGAUAUACUUAUAUCUACUUCUUUUACAAAUUCAUCCCUCUCAUUACCAGUAGUGUAAAAUUUAUUUUAAUAAAUAUUAAAACGCCAGCGAAUAGCGCGGGGGUCAACCCUCGAAAAUGACAAGGAAACACAACUAUGUAAUAAUACGAAGCAGUACUUGAGAAAUGUGAAAAUCCAAAAAUGUGUAGUGGUGAAAAUCUAAUUGGCAUUGGAUUCACAGUUAGGCACAUAGUUACAUGUCAUCCUCAAACGUGAAAAUCCUCAAAGACGUUUGAGAAUCUCUUGUAGAAUCUAGUAGAGCUCAAAACAACACAAACAAUCUCGUACGCUUACAGCCUUAGGAAAUGUUCUCUGGAGUUCCUGUCCACCAGCUGAAGUGCAGGACAAACGCAAAAUUCGAGCUGAAGUGUGCCCCUCUCACUUUCAACAUCAAGACAACAGGACUUAUUAGUGAUACUUCAGUUCCACUUUAAUGUUACUUUAACUGUAUCUUCCUUGCUGCCAAAGCAAAGUAAGCCCAUAUAUCCUCAUUUCUCCCUGUGAUCUGUGCGAAUUGUGUGCAUCUGCACUGAGGUUUUUGUACUAUUGUAAGUAAAGCUUUCCUCAUUAUCAAGUUUAUUAGUUCUUUUGCUUCUCUCAAUAAUUUGCUGCAUGAAAGAUAUGAUGCUAGUUAAUCAAUUUAUGUGCAUUGCACUUAUAGCUAGUCUCUAUCUCUCUCUCUCUCUCUUUUUUGGGGUGCAGUUUCUUUCAGUUUCUAAAUUGAAUCCUUGUUACUCCAUCUAAAGAUGAAUCUGUUUAGUUUUUCCUUUAGUCUUAUUAAGGGAUGUAUGUGUGUGUGUGUAUAUAUAUAUAUACACAUAUAUAUCUUUGUUGUUCAUAGAAUAAGGUGUGACAAUAACAUAUCAGAAAUCAUGGUGUAAGUUUGAUUAGUCACUUUUACUGUUCAAGCAAAAGCAGCUGUUUUUUAUUCUCAAUUGUUGAAAUCAAAUUCUUUUUUACUUAGAUUCUGUUCAGGGUUCUGACUAAAUAAUGCUUUCUUGAAAUACAGAGAACAAAAGAAGCUAAUGGAAUCAAUUAAUAUUGUAGCUGAUGACAACGUAGAGGCUCCAGAGCAGUGUAAGUUUUGAGUAUCUUUCCUUCUCAUUGAUUUACACCAAUAUAAAAAGAAAAAAUCGAACUGUUCUUUUUUUUUUUCCUUCUAGUUUUAUAGUUGUUACCAAUUCCAUUUUUUUUUAAUAAUUGGUUUCAUCUGAAUGAAUAGGUGAUCAAGCAUAUGAGGAGGAACAGAUGCAGUAUGUCCCUCCGGAAUUGGUUGGUCGUCCUGGGAAUGAUUCUGAGAUAUUGUAUCAUUGCUACCUAAUUGCUCUUCAGCCUGAUUUUAGUUGCAACACCAUGCCUCGCGAUAUUUUGCUUGCUACAAGGGCAAGGCUUGAAUUUGAUGAUGAGACUCUGGAUUUUGAGUUAGACGUGCCCAGAGGCAGCUUAAAGAUACGAAUGAAAUAUGUUAGACAUAUUAAACUAACGUCUGAAGAGGUAAAUAUAUAAAAUGACAAUGCCAAAAUAAUUAUUCCUAUCACAUAUUAACUAAAAAGACAAAUAAUUCAGUCCUAUUUUGAUCAUGAAACAUCUUUAUCUUUUGCCAGGUUCUUCUUUGUCAGAAGUUCCAAGUCACACUUUUUAGGCUGCUUAUUGAUCAAAAUCAGAACAAGCUGCAAGAAGCAUUGAGCGGAUCAAACGAGAACAUUGAACAUGCUUUCCUUGAUUAUCUUCUGAUUCCAUCUACAGGCUCGCGUGAAAAUCCAUCAAUUGAUUGGACGUGUGUCAGAUCUGUUCUAUAUCCUCAGGAAACCAUAUCAGAUAAGCAUAUGGAUUGUUGUUCUAAUAGAGUUCAAGGCCGUUAUGUGCACACAAAAAAUGGCUUGAUCUGCUGCUGCAAAUUGCAGAAUUCUUUGGUAGUGACUCCUCAUAACGGUAUCAUAUAUUGCACUACUGAUACUUUGGAUGAUUUGAACAGCAAUUCGUUGCUAAUGCUGAGAAAAGGGGGAUCUGUUACUUAUAAAGCAUACUUUGCGAAACAGUAUGUAACAACUAAAUUUUCAUAUGCAAAUUUUGUAGUUUAAAGUCAAGGUUAAGCGUGAUAAUGUCACUGCAGGCAUGGCAUCACAUUGUGCUUCGACGGAGAACCAUUUAUUAAAGGAAAACAUCUGUUUAUGGUGCAGAACUUUCUUCUGGGAUGUAGGAAUCAAAAGACAAAAGGUUAGUGAAUCAUUUAGCUACAAUUUAGAUUUUGCUCUACGUCUGUACUUGUUUUAUGUUUAUUGAAGUGCCUCAAAGGAACUUGUAAAGCACAAAUUUUGUAGUCUAUAAUCUCAACACUAAGGGUUAAAUAAGGCAAUUAGCCUGUUCACGGCUAUCAAAAUUUAAUGCCUACUCCAGCUUGAGAGAAUUUGGAACCAAGCUUCUUUUUGUUGCUUCAUUUGCAGAUGUUGCUUGCUGUGGACCUAAAGAUGUCAUUCAAUGACCAAAAGAAUAUUCUUUCAUUCAAUUUUAAUUGAGCUAUGAAUUUCAUUGAGAAGUUCAACAUCCCCUGCUGUUAGACAUCUCCUUAUCUUUAUAGUUUUGAUGUUCUAGGCUUCUACCCUGUUGAUGGAUGACUAGUUCAACUGGCUAAAAGCAUCUGACUGCGAUGAUGGCGCAGCAACAUGCUCUUUCUAGUGUGAUACUAGUAUAAACAAAAGGAAAAUAGUGACAAAUAAGAUAAGCUUGAUAUUAGAUAGGAUGAUCUUUAUGCAGAAUAUCUUGAUACAUAGCUGAAGUAUGAUAGAAUUGCCUACUAUUGCAACCAUAUUUUGACCAGACCAGCUGCACAGCUCUAAGUUGCUCCCCGUUUGAGUUCUCUGUUUGAUUGUUCACACUCUUAAAAAGAUUGUGUGAUAUGUCUGUACGUUACAAAGGGUUCAUUGUCCGAGUUUACUCUUUGGAUUUAUAUUUCUACAAUUAUGCAUAACAGAUUGCGCAAAAUUGCAGUUUCUUAUGGUUGCUGACCUUUUUCUCUUUUCCUUGUACUACUACCCUUGUAGUCCCGACUAAUGCAUCAGUUGAGUUGCCUCCAGAAAUUUGUGAAGUGAUCAUGUCUCCUAUAUCCAUUGGUUCAGUGUCUUCCUUCUCAUAUGCUCCAUCUAUCAUACAACGGAUAGAGUCCUUAUUAAUAGCUGGCAACUUGAAAAGGAUGCUAAUGGCCGACUGCAUGCUCAAUGAUAUGAUUCCGACCAUCAAGGUUCAUCCCCCUAACUGUGGCUUUGAAAAUCUACUGAGAAUAACAAUAGCAAAGGGUAUAGUUUGUGUACUUACAAUAAAUUUCAUCGAUCUUUCUUUUAGGCGGUAUGUAGAAACUUUUACUAGCAUGUUGCAAUUGAGUUGCAGAGAACACGGCUCUCUAACAUACAUUGCACAUAUGCUAGCUAUCUCUGUGGGAAACAAUAUCUUCAUUUCCAAUAAAAAUUACUGGAGAACAGCUGUUUGGAAUUCCUCCAUUCUAAUACCAGUUUCAAUGUUUCUUGUUAAGGCUGAUACAAUUCCUUGUUAACUAUAAACACAGGUGAACAAACUAUAGGCUAGAAUAAUACGCGAUUCCUAGCUCUGCAUUAUUCAUAUACUGUUGCAGCUAAAGCCAACCUUUUUAGCUUAAUGGCAAACGAAUUUGAUGAGCAAUAUUUUGGAAAAUCAUUGCAAUUCAUUAUUGCAAAGCACAAGUACCUUUAUAUAAGGACAUAAACUGCACUAGCAAAUGAACAGUUUCACCAAACAGGAUGAGGUUAGUUGUUGAUCAAACCUGCAUAAUUUUGUCUGCAUACUAGGAUUGGUUGUAACUUGUAAGCUAAAGCAAACUGGGACAUAAUAAAAGCCAGAAGUUCAGUUUAAAUGUUUAAUAAAGGGCAAAUUACACUUUACCCUCCUAUGGUUUAGUGUUUUUGUACACAACUCUUCUAUGAUUUCAAAAGCUAUGCAUAACCUCUUCAUGGUUUGGAUUAAAAAGAGUCAAAGUAACAGAAUUUGCAAUCCAUAAUGGAGUCACCUAAAAUAUCAAAAAUAUCCUCAUGAAAAGUUGAAAAUUAUUUAUUAAUUACAUGGGGGUUAUGUGUAUAUUUUGAAAAUCAUAAGUGGAUCAUAUGAUAAAAUAUUAAACUAUAAGAGAGUUAUAUGGUAAAACAUAAAAUCAUACGGGGUUAAUGCGUCAUAUAUAUGUUAUCUUUAUAUAUUUUGGUCACUUUAACUAUUUUAAUUUUUAAACAAGGGUAAUUUAGAUAUUUUUAAAGGUUCGUUACGAAUGAUAAUUACCGUCAUUUUAACACUUUAAUCCAAAUCAUGAGGGGGUUAUGCAUAUCUUUUGAAACCAUAGAGAGGUUAUGUACAAAAAAAUACUAAACCAUAGGGGGGUAAAAUGUAAUUUACCCUUGAAUAUUUGCAAUGAGCAUUCAUUAAUUUUUUUUUUUUUUGUGGUGAUUAAUAGGCUUGUUUGCGAAGGACCAAAGUCGAAACUAGUAGCUAGGAGUUGCCAUAUGAAUAUUUUGAAAUUGACAUACGUACAUUUACGUCCAUAUUGCUCCUUUUGGAACUAUUCUACCAUGCAUUUUGUAGUCAAAUAUUCCUGACAAAUCUGAUAAGACUUUCACCAUUGAAGAGAAUUUCAAUAGAUUUUCCCCGUGCUAAUGUUUUUCUGCUUUUAGGUCUUAGAGGCAAUUACGACUAAAAAUUGCCGAGAGAAUUUUCAUUUGACAUCAUUGGCAACCAUUGGAGACUCCUUCUUGAAAUAUGCUACAAGUCAACAACUAUUCAAGACACAUCAAAAUCACAACAAUGGUCUUCUUACUGAGGAGAGAACAAAAAUCGUCUCCAACCUCGCACUCUGC